CCUGGGGCCUUAUCCUUUCCUCUCGUUGGUCCCUGGACGGCUGACCACGAGCGCUCAUACCCGCUCGCGCGGCUUGCUCGGGGACUCCUCGUCUCUCUCGUCGCCGGCGACGCACGUCACCGGCGCCCUCCCCGGCGGCCAGCGAAAGAAGAGAAGGUGCCCUCCCAGGUCGAUCUGGUGGCAUGGACUGUGACCCAGAGGCUGUUCCUGCUACGUUUGAAAAUCGUGAAAAUAUGGCAGCAGAACCUGUGCUCCCUCAUAUUGAAUGGAACAAUAUGGCAGCAGAACCUAUUAUUAGUCCUCAAAAUGUUCCACCAGAACCUGUGCUCCCCCAAGUAGAUUGGAACAGUCUGCAGAUUACGGGGCAGUAUGAGGAAGAUAGGAUGGAAAUUGUAAGUGAAGAGCAGAUGUAUGUGCUGUUGGGUUUGAGGGAUGAAGAUGAGAGGGCACAGAAAAAAGAGGAGGACAAUGAGAUGGUGAGAGCAAUGCGCAGGACUGUACAAACUGAUGAUACUGCAGGUGCUGCAAUUCCUGUUAGUGAUAGCAUUCCAGAUGAAGUUGUGAUAGCCUAUGAUAAGGAUCAUCCAAGUAUGGAUCUUGGGACUAUGUACCCAUCAAUGGUUGAUUUUAGGCUGGCUGUGAGGCAAUUUGCAAUCAACAAUGAAUUUGCACUGGGCACAGAGAAGUCUGACAAGAAGAGGUUCAGGGGGGUUCUGCAAGUCUAGUGCAGACUGCCCUUGGAGGAUUGUUGGAACUCAGCAGGAUGAUAACAGAAGCAUCAAGGUGACAGUUUUAGUUGACGAGCAUAAUUGUGUCUCAAGCUGCAGGAUGAGGACCACUACACCAUCAAAGAAUUGGGUUGCAAGUAAGGCUGAAAGUAUCCUUAGAGUGACACCAGACAUGGGUGCUAAAGAGCUGCAAGAUAAGUUGGAACAACAAUAUCAUGUCACUCUUUUCUAUGAUACUGUAUGGAGGGGUAGAGAAUUAGCACUUGACAAGGUUUAUGGAAAAUGAUCUGAAAGUUUUGGGAUGUUUAGGUGGAAGGCUGAGGUACUAAAGAGAAUGCCUGGGAGUGUCGUUGAAAUUGAUACUUUUGAGGUAGAUGGUCAAGUGUAUUUUCAUCGUUUUUUCUGUGCCCUUAAGUCAUGUAUUGAUGGCUUCAAAGAAGGAUGUAGACCAUACUUGAGUAUAGAUUCCAGUGCAUUGAAUGGAAGGUGGAAUGGACAUUUAGCUUCAGCUAUAGCAGUAGAUGGGCACACUUGGAUGUACCCAAUGGCUUUUGGAUUCAUAGCUUCAGAGACAGAAGAUAAUUGGACUUGGUUCAUGAGACAAUUAAAGCAGGCAAUUGGAGAGCCACCGCUUCUUGCUAUCUGCACAGAUGCUUGCAAAGGACUGGAAAACUCUGUGCAAAAAGUAUUCCCUACAGCUGAACAGAGGGAGUGUUUCUUCCACCUGAUGAAGAAUUUUCAGAAGAGGUUUCAAGGAUUUGGUAGGAUUUAUCCAGCAGCAAGAGCUUACAGAGAGGAUAUGUUUACAGAACACAUGGCAGCAAUUUUCAGUGAGCCAGAUGAAAUAUGGAAGUGGAUGACACAGUACCACCCUCUCUUGUGGUACAGAACUACAGAUGUGGUUUCAACCCAGAAAUCAAGUGUGACUUCAUAACCAACAAUUUAGCCGAGGUGUUCAAUAAUUGGAUUAGAGGUAUCAAGGACUUGCCAGUUGCUGAACUAGCUGACAAGGUGAGGGAGAUGAUAAUAGUUCUAUGGAGAAAGAGGAGGAGGAUUGCAGAAAGGCUGCCAACAGGCAAGAUUCUACCUGCUGUAAUGGUUCAGCUGAAAGCAAACACUAGAGGUUUGGCUCAUUUGAAGGUUGUCAAGUCUGGUAGUUGGAGUGCAGAGGUCUGGGACUACAGCAAGGGUGGUGAAAGACAGAGUGAAGCUCAAUGAAAAGACUUGUACUUGUCAAGAGUGGCAGCACAUUGGAAAACCCUGUCAACAAGCUUUGGCAUUCCUAACAACACAAAAGAAUGUUGAUCUUGAGCAGUUUGUGCAUCAUUAUUUCUCAGUGGAAAAGUUCCAAGCUGCAUAUGGUAGGGAGAUUGAGCCACUGGCAGACAAGUCACAAUGGCCUCGUGUGCGUCUCCCUUUCUCUGUGUGCGCCCCACUUACCAAGAAGAAUGUGGGGAGGCAAAGAAAACUAAGGUUCAAAUCAUGCCUUGAAAGAGGUCACAGGAAGAAAGGUGACAAUCAUGACACCAAUUCAGCUCCCACAAAUGGUGAUGGGAACCCUGACAACUCAGCUCUCACAAACUCUAAAGGGAAGAAGAUGAUUAGAGGCCCUGUCAUUUGCAAGAGAUGUGGAGAGAAGGGCCACAGACAAGCUAGCUCCAAAUGCCCACUCAAUGGAACUAAGAAAA